GUCUGUGCGUUUAUGAUGCAUAGUCUAGCCUGCCCACUGAAGUAGUUUUUGAAGGGCCGCGGUAUUUUGACCGUGCGAAGGUAGCGUAAUCAUUUGUCUCUUAAUUGGAGGCUUGUAUGAACGGUUGGACAAGAAGUUGGCUGUCUCCUGAGUUGGUGUUGAAUUUCACUUUUAAGUGAAAAGGCUUAAAUGUUGCAGGGGGACGAUAAGACCCUAUAAAACUUGACGACUAUCUCCUCUAAUUUCCGAAUUGAGGGUUUUAAGCGGGUUUGGGGAGGUUCGUUUGGCUGGGGCGGCGUGGAUAUAAGUAGGUAACUGUCUUCAUGAAUGAAAUAGUUCUUUUUAGAUUUAAAGAUCCCCUCUUAGGGAUUAUAAGAUUAAGUUACUUUAGGGAUAACAGCGUGAUUUUCCUUGAGAGUUCAUAUCGACAGGAUAAGUUGCGACCUCGAUGUUGAAUUAAGACUUCAGCCAGGUGCAGUAGCUUGGACGGUAGGUCUGUUCGACCUUUAAAGUCUUACAUGAUUUGAGUUCAGACCGGCGUGAG
rnacentral:rRNA from 1 species